GUAAGGAAUAUUGGGCAAUGGACGCAAGUCUGACCCAGCCAUGCCGCGUGAAGGAUGACGGCCCUAUGGGUUGUAAACUUCUUUUGUACGGGAAAAAACCUUCGAACGUGUUCGAAGCUGAUGGUACCGUAAGAAUAAGCAUCGGCUAACUCCGUGCCAGCAGCCGCGGUAAUACGGAGGAUGCAAGCGUUAUCCGGAUUCAUUGGGUUUAAAGGGUGCGUAGGCGGGAUAAUAAGUCAGUGGUGAAAGCCUACAGCUUAACUGUAGAACUGCCAUUGAUACUGUUAACCUUGAGUACAAUUGAAGUGGGCGGAAUGUGUCAUGUAGCGGUGAAAUGCUUAGAUAUGACACAGAACACCGAUAGCGAAGGCAGCUCACUAAACUGUAACUGACGCUGAGGCACGAAAGCGUGGGGAUCAAACAGGAUUAGAAACCCCAGUAGUCC
rnacentral:rRNA from 1 species